CAAUCUCAAAACUCCUUUGGAGUCUUCACAGACACCGAAGGAGCCUGUGAAAUUUGGACCCGGUUUUGCAAACUCGUGUUGCAAAUGGCCUCCAAUUGAUUGUGUGCGCGUCUCGCUCGCUAGCAGACGUUCUCUGGUGCAACAGAUAAUGUUAACACCUUGGAGCGUUUGACAGAAGGCGUAAUCGUGUGCCCUUUAACCAAUAUACAGGCGGCUUGAGCAUAUGCUCAGGAUGUCUGAAG
rnacentral:misc_RNA from 1 species